rnacentral:rRNA from 1 species
UACGAAGGGGGCGAGCGUUGUUCGGAUUUACUGGGCGUAAAGGGCGCGCAGGCGGUUCUGUUUGUCGAGUGUGAAAGCCCCGGGCUCAACCUGGGAACUGCGCUCGAAACGGCAGAACUAGAGUUCGGGAGAGGAGAGUGGAAUUCCCAGUGUAGAGGUGAAAUUCGUAGAUAUUGGGAAGAACACCGGUGGCGAAGGCGGCUCUCUGGACCGAUACGUGACGCUGAGGCGCGAAAGCGUGGGGAGCAA